GGAAGGAUCAUCAACAAUCUUUUGGCUGCGACUGCGUCAGCAGUAGCAGUGUAAAAAAGAAGGGCGCCUGGGGGAUAGUCACGAGAGUGGCAGGAACCUGGGAAGCACACAUUUAGACAGGAAGAGUGAUUGUACAUUAAUUUAAUGGUGGGUGAGUAUAUUUGUAUUUGUAUGGAAACAUACUACAUAUAUGUAUACCCAUCCCCAGGACAUCCAAUAAAAAACAACUUUGAACAAUGGAUCUCUGGGCUCCUGCAUCGAUGAAGAACGUGGUGAAAUGCGAAAAGCGAUGCGAACAGCAAGCACUGCGAGACAUGAGGUCUUUGAACGCAAAUGGCACCGUAGGACGACUGCGGUAUGUGCGACUGAAAACGACAAAGCAACUCGCCACGAGAGAGUGGCGGACAUGGGGUGGAGAGACGAGACAUUGUUUCACCAGCCUUGAAAACCUUGGUAGAGACUGGUGGGCACUUUGGGCGGUCCGGGUGAUAUGAUGAGAGUCACAAUCCCAGUAGUUUCAAAUUGGCACCAGGGCAAGUCAAUAGAAAUGCAUGGUGACAGGCUGACGUGGAGGGGUAGCAGGACUAACAAUCCCAGCUGCACCAACUGCGAAGCAGUUGCCAGAGGCGAAGGUCGCCGUUUCAGAGUGCGCAAGAUUACCCGCCGAACUUAAGCAUAUCAGUAAGCGGAGGAAAAGAAACUAACAAGGAUUCCCCCAGUAGCGGCGAGCGAACAGGGACGAGCCCAGGUUUGGAAUCGAACAAUGCAAAGUUGGACGAAUUGUAGUCUGGACAGCGGCGACGAGCGUGCGGGGGCGGGCAUUGAGCGUUCUGGAAGGGACGGCCGAAGAGGGUGAGAGCCCCGUGGAAUGCAGGCUGGGCACGUGGGGCGCGGGCUGGAAGAGUCGGGUUGCUUGGGAAUGCAGUCCAAAGGGGGUGGUAAACUCCAUCCAAGGCUAAAUACGGGCAGGAGACCGAUAGCGAACAAGUACCGUGAGGGAAAGAUGAAAAGCACCCUGGAAAGGGAGUGAAAAGUGCGUGAAAUUGUUGAAAGGGAAACGCUUCACUCUGCCCAUACCUUUACUAACUGGCAACCGGAGGACGUGGUUGAGACAACUACGCAGCUGUCCAACAGCGUCAAGCAGUUGCCGGGAACGGAGGUAAGCUCGGGACCGCUUUCGCCAGGCUCACAGGGUGUCUGUUGGUGAUUGGGCAGCAAUGCACAAGGACCACAGAUGACGGGAGCAAGGGGAGAGGUGGUAGACAGGGACGGGGAGUGUUGGAGAGACAGCGACGGUAGAAUCCAGACUGCAAGCAGAUUGGGUGACACAGCCACAGUCAAACACAUCAAUCCCCCCCACAGGUCAGCCCCGAGAUGGAGCGAAACGACCCGUCUUGAAACACGGACCAAGGAGUCUAACGGAGAUGCGAGUGUUAGGGUGGCAAACCCGGACGCGGAAAGAAAGUGAGGCGCGGGAGCAUGAGCUUUUUGGUAGUGCGCACCGCGGGCCCAGCACUGUAAAAGUGCCAGGAGCCACAGCAUCCACGUUGGGACCCGAAAGACGGUGAACUAUGCCUGGACAGGAUGAAGCCAGAGGAAACUCUGGUGGAGGUCCGCCGCCGUUCUGACGUGCAAAUCGAUGGCUGGAUCUGGGCAUAGGGGCGAAAGACUAAUCGAACCGUCUGGUAGCUGGUUCCCUC
rnacentral:misc_RNA from 1 species